GAUGAACGCUGGCGGCGUGCCUAAUACAUGCAAGUCGAGCGAACGGACGAGAAGCUUGCUUCUCUGAUGUUAGCGGCGGACGGGUGAGUAACACGUGGAUAACCUACCUAUAAUACUGGGAUAACUUCGGGAAACCGGAGCUAAUACCGGAUAAUAUUUUGAACCGCAUGGUUCAAAAGUUAAAGACGGUCUUGCUGUCACUUAUAGAUGGAUCCCCGCUGCAUUAGCUAGUUGGUAAGGUAACGGCUUACCAAGGCAACGAUGCAUAGCCGACCUGAGAGGAUGGUCGGCCACACUGGAACUGGAACACGGCCCAGACCCCGCGGGGAGGCAGCAGAGGGGACUUUUCGGCAAUGGGCGAAAGCCUGACGGACCCAUCCCGGGUGGGGGAUAAAGGCUUAGGAAUUGUAAACCUCUUUUGUUGGGAAAAAAAAUCUGCAAAUUAAUCCGCCAACUUCUUGAGGUUACCUAAAAGAAAAGCACGGGCUAACUACGUG
rnacentral:rRNA from 1 species